UAGGGAAUCUUCCGCAAUGGACGCAAGUCUGACGGAGCAACGCCGCGUGAGUGAAGAAGGUUUUCGGAUCGUAAAACUCUGUUGUAAGAGAAGAACAAAUUGUAGAGUAACUGCUACAGUCUUGACGGUAUCUUACCAGAAAGCCACGGCUAACUACGUGCCAGCAGCCGCGGUAAUACGUAGGUGGCAAGCGUUGUCCGGAUUUAUUGGGCGUAAAGGGGGCGCAGGCUGCUUCUUAAGUCUGAUGUGAAAGCCCACGGCUUAACCGUGGAAGUGCAUUGGAAGCUGGGAAGCUUGAGUACAGAAGAGGAAAGUGGAACUCCAUGUGUAGCGGUGGAAUGCGUAGAUAUAUGGAAGAACACCAGUGGCGAAAGCGACUGUCUGGUCUGUCACUGACGCUGAGGCCCGAAAGCGUGGGUAGCAAACAGG
rnacentral:rRNA from 1 species